CUUGAUUGGGUUGUGCGAUGUCUCUAAGGAGCGUGUGCACGCCUGACACAUUUUUACCACCUGUGCACCCUUUGUAGACCUGGAACACCUCUCGAGGUAACUCGGUUUGAGGAUUGCCGCUGCUGAAAAGCCGGCUUUCCUUGCGUUCCCGGUCUAUGUCUUUAUAUACCCCAUGAAUGUAACUGAAUGUCUUUAAUGGGCCUUAGUGCCUUUAAAUCAAAUACAACUUUCAACAACGGAUCUCUUGGCUCUCGCAUCGAUGAAGAACGCAGCGAAAUGCGAUAAGUAAUGUGAAUUGCAGAAUUCAGUGAAUCAUCGAAUCUUUGAACGCACCUUGCGCUCCUUGGUAUUCCGAGGAGCAUGCCUGUUUGAGUGUCAUUAAAUUCUCAACCUUUCCAGCUUUUAUUAGCUUGGUCAGGCUUGGAUGUGGGGGUUGCGGGCUUCUCAGAAGUCGGCUCUCCUUAAAUGCAUUAGCGGAACCUUUGUUGACCAGCUCUGGUGUGAUAAUUAUCUACGCCAUUGCGAAGCAGCUUUAAUUAUGGGGUUCAGCUUCUA
rnacentral:rRNA from 1 species